CAGGGACCAGUAGAGAGGAGGCCAUUGUCUGAGCAACAACUCUGAGGUGACAGUAAAAGAUUUGAAAUCGCCAACGACUGUAAUGACAAGAAUGAGCCCCUGAGGUAGAAUCUCUAGGUCAGCAGCAUCCCUUGUCUAUCAGGCCCUGAAAUGGGCAUUAGCCUCUGACACAGAUGGGCUCUGCAGCCCAGUCUCUGAAGAGCAAUGGAUGUUUAUGCGACAUGAGAUCAAACUGCAGUGUAUUCGAUGGAAGGGGCUGGUAUUUACUUCAAACAUAUACCUACUCUGGACUGGGCACUCCCAUACCAGCCCUUCUUACACUUGCCAUCUUGUAUGGUUUUGGAGUACACCUCCAGAAGACACUGCCUGUGCAGAGACUGCGAGAAAAUGGCGCCCCCUAAGAGAAAGUCACAGGAACAUGUCUUUUUUGCCUCAUCGUUGUAUGCCUCAAUGCCUGCAACAGCGCCUGGCACACAGCAGGGCUCUGAUGGUCACCUGUGGUGAGGAGGCAGAGUGGAGUCCCCGGGGUCACCUGGGCGCUGCCCAUUGGUGCUGACCACAAGGAAGCCAGUCCCCAGGCAGCAUGCAGAAGAGAAGGAGAGAAAGAAACACACAUGAAAACGUGUGGCACAGUGAACAAAACCAUAGUUCUUGUGGCUCUGAAGAGCUCACACUAAACAGCAAAAGAACAUCGUGAUCUAACACAACAAGGCCUGAAAAAGAUUUUUAAAAAUGAAACGAGAAUAAGAUUCAGCAUUUAUCAAGGCCCCACGACAUGCCAGGUACCUCACACACAAUGUUUCUGAGACUGAGAGCAUCCCAGAAAGGUCAGUUUUAUUACAAAUGAACGCAUCAUCUUUCCACUUGGUGUCUUCUCUCCCAGUCCCUGCUUUCUUAGUAAAUGGUGGCCCCACCCACGUAGCGCCUUGGUCUAGCAAUCUGGGAGUCAUCCUUUACCCCUCCUUUUUACUGACCUCCCACUUCUAAUUACUCAGCAUGCUUUAGUCAUUAUAUUCCAGGAAGGUUCUGGAAGCCUCUUCCUCCUCCUUCUCUCCAAUUUCAUUUCCUCUUGGUUGAGGCCACCCUCAUAUUUCACUGGGGAUUACCUAAGCAGCCUCCUGUUGGUCUUCCUGUCUCCGGUGUUGCCCCCUAUCAAUCCACUCUCCACCCUUCAGCUGAAGGGCAUGAGAAAGGUAAAUGUCAAAUCCCCUCCACCAGCUCGCAGACCCUCAAUGACAGAUCCUUGCCUGUUGGUCCACACUCUCUGCCCAAAGGGCAAUGAAAUCUUCUCUGUUAUCAACAGCCCCCUACCUUCUUAUCUGUAGGCCUUACCCAGCCUCAUCACCUCGUGUGGAAUGCACUCCCUUCCUGCCCCUUUACCUGUCUGGCAACUGUUCAUCCUUCAGGAAAUCAGUUUGGAAUUCCUUUAUUGGGAGUCUUGAGCAUCUCACCAUGUAUGGAGAAGAUGGCCCGCUCUGUUUUCUCAUCACACCCUAGUCUUCCCUUUAUACAGUGAUAACCUUCCCGUGUUAUUAAUGGCUGACUUCUCCUUGAUUCUGUAAAUUCCUUGAAGGUAGUCACAGCGUUCCAUUUACUAGGCAAUCUCGUACCCGGCAUGUAGUAAG